CAGUCGACGAACUCUGGUAUUGAUUGGUGCUUGCAUCAUGAUUUACAUUUGAGUGAGUGGCGAACUGGUGAGUAACACGUGGGAAACCUGCCCAGAAGCGGGGGAUAACACCUGGAAACAGAUGCUAAUACCGCAUAACAACUUGGACCGCAUGGUCCGAGUUUGAAAGAUGGCUUCGGCUAUCACUUUUGGAUGGUCCCGCGGCGUAUUAGCUAGAUGGUGGGGUAACGGCUCACCAUGGCAAUGAUACGUAGCCGACCUGAGAGGGUAAUCGGCCACAUUGGGACUGAGACACGGCCCAAACUCCUACGGGAGGCAGCAGUAGGGAAUCUUCCACAAUGGACGAAAGUCUGAUGGAGCAACGCCGCGUGAGUGAAGAAGGGUUUCGGCUCGUAAAACUCUGUUGUUAAAGAAGAACAUAUCUGAGAGUAACUGUUCAGGUAUUGACGGUAUUUAACCAGAAAGCCACGGCUAACUACGUGCCAGCAGCCGCGGUAAUACGUAGGUGGCAAGCGUUGUCCGGAUUUAUUGGGCGUAAAGCGAGCGCAGGCGGUUUUUUAAGUCUGAUGUGAAAGCCUUCGGCUCAACCGAAGAAGUGCAUCGGAAACUGGGAAACUUGAGUGCAGAAGAGGACAGUGGAACUCCAUGUGUAGCGGUGAAAUGCGUAGAUAUAUGGAAGAACACCAGUGGCGAAGGCGGCUGUCUGGUCUGUAACUGACGCUGAGGCUCGAAAGUAUGGGUAGCAAACAGGAUUAGAUACCCUGGUAGUCCAUACCGU
rnacentral:rRNA from 2 species